rnacentral:rRNA from 1 species
GACGAACGCUGGCGGCGUGCCUAAUACAUGCAAGUCGAGCGGACUUUCAAGAAGCUUGCUUUUUGAAAGUUAGCGGCGGACGGGUGAGUAACACGUGGGCAACCUGCCUGCAAGACGGGGAUAACUCCGGGAAACCGGGGCUAAUACCGGAUAAUAUCUUCCUUCGCAUGAAGGAAGGUUGAAAGGCGGCGCAAGCUGCCGCUUGCAGAUGGGCCCGCGGCGCAUUAGCUAGUUGGUGAGGUAACGGCUCACCAAGGCGACGAUGCGUAGCCGACCUGAGAGGGUGAUCGGCCACACUGGGACUGAGACACGGCCCAGACUCCUACGGGAGGCAGCAGUAGGGAAUCUUCCGCAUUGGACGAAAGUCUGACGGAGCAACGCCGCGUGAGCGAAGAAGGUCUUCGGAUCGUAAAGCUCUGUUGUCAGGGAAGAACAAGUACCGUUCGAACAGGGCGGUACCUUGACGGUACCUGACCAGAAAGCCACGGCUAACUACGUG